GCCGAAAUAGCUCAAUUGGGAGAGUGUUAGACUGAAGAUCUUCUGCAGGUCUCUGGUUCAAUUCCGGGUUUCGACA
rfam:Pan troglodytes isolate Yerkes chimp pedigree #C0471 (Clint) chromosome 6, whole genome shotgun sequence.